CUGGCAACUUAUCGAGCUGUCAAACUCGUAACUCAAGAAUUCCUGUUGAAUUCAAAACGGAAAAAGGGCUCCAAAAAUACCAUCGACGGACUUAAUGGAGCCACAGAUGUUAACGAAACAAAGCUGGCCUCGGAAAAGUGCUUCAAGCAGCAAUCUGGUAUCGGCCGACUGCCAAAAAUUCAACGAUGACUGCGCUUAAUUCUAUCCUUUCCAAGAUAUUCAACAUAGGCCGAGCAUUCGCGACAAGAUCCCGGAAAGCAGAACAACAAUAAACCUCGUAAUAAACUGCAUCAACAUGGAGUUAACUGCCACCCAAAAUGCGACACUAAUGCAUAGAAUCGAAAUAAAUGUGAAAACCGCAGGAAAUUACAAGAGAAAUA